GGGGUUGUGGCUCAGAGGUAGAGUGCACCUAGCAUGCAUGAGGCACUGGGUUCGAUCCUCAGCACCACA
rnacentral:tRNA from 1 species